GACGAACGCUGGCGGCGUGCUUAACACAUGCCAGUCGAACGGAAAGGCCCUGCUUUUGUGGGGUGCUCGAGUGGCGAACGGGUGAGUAACACGUGAGUAACCUGCCCUUGACUUUGGGAUAACUUCAGGAAACUGGGGCUAAUACCGGAUAGGAGCUCCUGCUGCAUGGUGGGGGUUGGAAAGUUUCGGCGGUUGGGGAUGGACUCGCGGCUUAUCAGCUUGUUGGUGGGGUAGUGGCUUACCAAGGCUUUGACGGGUAGCCGGCCUGAGAGGGUGACCGGCCACAUUGGGACUGAGAUACGGCCCAGACUCCUACGGGAGGCAGCAGUGGGGAAUAUUGCACAAUGGGCGGAAGCCGGACGCAGCAACGCCGCGUGCGGGAUGACGGCCUUCGGGUUGUAAACCGCUUUCGCCUGUGACGAAGCGUGAGUGACGGUAAUGGGGAAAGAAGCACCGGCUAACUACGU
rnacentral:rRNA from 1 species